UUGUGCUGCCCGGCGUUCGGCGCGGGCUGCAACGUUUCUCCCCGUGGCUUGGGGCAGAGCACCGCAAGGAGGCGCUGUUGGACCCUUUCUCUUUUGCUUUGGGGGUUCGGUCUACCAUCAUUCAGUCCUUUACUAGAGUUUCACUGUCGCCCUGACUGGAGUUCAGUGGCGAUAUCGGCUCACUGCAACCUCCGCCUCCCGGUUCAAGCUGUUCUCGUGCCUCAGCCUCCUGAGUAGCUGAGAUUUACAGGCGCGCGCCACCACGACCGGCUCAUUUUUGUAUUUUUAGUAGAGUCAGGGUCUCGAGCUCCUGGUUUCAAGUAAUCCACCCGCCUCGGCCUCCCAAAGUGUUGGAAUUACAGGCGUGAGCCACCGUAAUGUUUUUAUCCAAGUAUUUUGAAACCAAAUGACUUCUCUGCUCAGAUUUUGCAGAACGAUUAAUUGUUUCAUUCAAUUCAAUGAACUUUAACAGCAUUUUCUAUAUGCCCGAAAUGAAUAGGACACUCCGUAAUCCCUUAACAGGGGUAGAGAUGAGGGAACAAAGACAUUCGAACCUGCCUGUGAUCAAUAGUCUCAGUCAACAAGCGCCUACUACUGAGUGGCAGGCAUUGCCAAUAGGAAACACCAGGAUGAGAAAGGGGAGUCCCUGCUCCUGAGGAGUUAGUUCCCAGACUACUGGGACAGAGGGAGAGAAUGCAGCCCCUGAUUUUUAAUGAUAAUGCUAUAGAGAAUCACCUGGUACUCUGGGAGUAUGAGGAGGGUCACUUUAUCCCUCUUCAGGGAGGGGCAGAGGUUUCCCGGAAGAGAGAAAAAUCCAAGUGUAUUGUGAAACAUGAUGAGUCAGCGAGAAGUAAGAGCGUGGGAUGAAGAUGUUCUAACAAGAGGGAACAGCAUGAGCAAACGGGGCAGUGUCUAUGGAAACUGGAGCAAAAGCCUCUGUCCACGUAUCGUAGCUCUCCUUUUCUUUUCUUACAGGAACGCUGCAUCCCGAGGUGAAUUAACAGUCAUGGAUAUAGCUGGGUCCUAAGUCCCCACACAGUGGGGCAGCCCACUGGUGUGCCUUUCAUGUCCUUUCACAAUGCAGACCUUUGUGUGUCAGAACAAGCCCCAGGGAGACCUGGGUUCUAG
rnacentral:lncRNA from 10 species